rnacentral:rRNA from 1 species
AAAUUAUCCUCAUAAGUUAUACGAAAAGAGGAACCAAUUAGUGAAAGCUGCAAAGUCUAAACUAAUCUUGGUCGCAGAGAGCAAGAGGCCCCGACUGUUUACUAAAAACACAAUUCAGAGCAAAGAUGAAAUAUCUUAGUAUUCUGGAUGAGAUUUGCCCAAUGCCAUUAAAUAAUUAAGGUUAUGGGGAACUGUAACUUAUUGAAAAUUUGGUUAAUAGCGGUCUUAACUAUGAGGAUCCUAAGGUAGCAAAAUAAGUUGGCCUUUAAAUGAGGUCCGGUAUCAAUAAUUUAACGAUGGUCUCACUGUCUCAACAAUUUGCUCAGUGAAAUUGAAUUACUAGUGCAGAUGCUAGUUACCAGAUAGAAGACGGGAAGACCCUAUGCAGCUU